rnacentral:rRNA from 1 species
UACAGUGACCCCGUGUCUUACCACCGGGAUGUUCAUAACCCUUUGUUGUCCGACUCUGUUGCCUCCGGGGCGACCCUGCCUUCGGGCGGGGGCUCCGGGUGGACACUUCAAACUCUUGCGUAACUUUGCAGUCUGAGUAAACUUAAUUAAUAAAUUAAAACUUUUAACAACGGAUCUCUUGGUUCUGGCAUCGAUGAAGAACGCAGCGAAAUGCGAUAAGUAAUGUGAAUUGCAGAAUUCAGUGAAUCAUCGAAUCUUUGAACGCACAUUGCGCCCCCUGGUAUUCCGGGGGGCAUGCCUGUUCGAGCGUCAUUUCACCACUCAAGCCUCGCUUGGUAUUGGGCAACGCGGUCCGCCGCGUGCCUCAAAUCGACCGGCUGGGUCUUCUGUCCCCUAAGCGUUGUGGAAACUAUUCGCUAAAGGGUGUUCGGGAGGCUACGCCGUAAAACAACCCCAUUUCUAAGGUUGACCUCGGAUCAGGUAGGGAUACCCGCUGAACUUAAGCAUAUCA